UGGAGGGUUAUCCCUGACAGGGGAUCUGUUACUCCCCCCUAGACACCCAGGAACAUUUGGCAUUGCUUGACAACAGUUUGAGGCAGGAUAAAGAGCUCCAGCAAUGAUUUCUUCGGUUUUUGGCAAUCAAAUGUGGGAGGGACCUAAAGACAACCGUGUGGCGAAUGCUUCAGAGUAUCUUCUCUAAUCACCUUUCCAUCAAUACAACCUGGACUGGUGUAGGGGAUAAAGCAUGUUUUAGAGACAUGUUCCUGAAGACCAUUGUUCAAAGAGCCAUCCGGAAGAACCCGGCAACACAGGAUGCCACUGAUGAGGCGAUCCAGGUUAACGUUACGCGUUACCUGAAAGGAGCAUCUGAACAUGAAGGUGGAAAAAGGCGCCGCACAGCUGAGAGGGACCCACAGCCGACCCCUUAAACCUAGGCUGACUACUGACACCCCAGCAUCACUGACAACUGGAACCCUUUCUUUAUCCUGCAGUCAGUAACAUCAAGACCCCUAAAGAAGCCUGCUAAAAGUGUCAGACUACACUCACCCAAUCCACACUGUUCACUGUGGAAAUUGCUCUUUUUUUUUUUUUUUUUUCUCGUGACCCUGCUUUGAGGGCAGCUCCUUGGAUGAAUAUGGGAUGGUUUGUCCUUUUAUACAGGCGCACGAGGAAUCACUGAAGAUAUGCCAAUUUGCACUGCCUCAUUCUGGGGGUCGGGAAAACCGGUGAUUCUUAGCCCAGAAGUCCCCAACCUCUCCAGACAUUCUGAUUGGCUGUGUUCUCUACAGCCAGAUUUUCUGCUGUUAAUUAUAUUUAUUCCCACUUGUUGUCAUGUGUAAGUUGAAUGUCAAAAUGUAUAUUAUACCUGUUAUCCUGCACAUUCCUUGAUACCAAAGAUCUCAAUUAUUUCAUAUACAAUUUGCUGCUUAUUUCAUUGUUACAGUGCUUAACUAUUCUAUUUUUAAAUAUAGCUUGUAAAUCCUAGAUUAUACAUCUAAUACUUGAUAUUUGCACAUUAUCUGGUAUCAAAUAUUCUACUUACCGUGACUUUAGUAUUGGCUUAUUUAAUUCCGUCAGUGCUUAACAAUUCUAUUAUAGUUUGUAAAUCCUAUUUCAUACCUCUGAUACUUGAUAUUGCACAUUAACUAGUACCAAAAAUUCUACUUUCAUUCCAUCACAGUGUUUAACUGUUAUUCUAUUGUUACAUAUAGCUUGUAAAUCCUUGUGCCACAGGUCAGCAUUGCAGUUAUAAUGGUAUAUUCUACUCCAGAGCUUUACUCUAAAUUAUUACCACUUAACCUAUUGUUAGAAAUGACUUGUAAAUAUGAUGUUAUACCUCAAUUUAUUUGGUAUCCUGCACUUUCUUUGGUACCAAAUAUCCUCAUUGCUUAUGUUUACUGGUAAUUCUUUUCAUCC